AGCAGCCGCGGUAAUUCCAGCUCCAAUAGCGUAUAUUAAAGUUGUUGCAGUUAAAAAGCUCGUAGUUGAAUUUCGGGGUUAGUAGGUUGGUCAUGCCUCUGGUAUGCACUGGCCUCACUGAUUCCUCCUUCCUGAUGAGCCGUAAUGCCAUUAAUUUGGUGUUGCGGGGAAUUUGGACUGUUACUUUGAAAAAUUAGAGUGUUUAAAGCAAGCUAACGCUUGAAUACAUUAGCAUGGAAUAAUGAAAUAGGACGUUCGAUCCUAUUUUGUUGGUUUCUAGGAUUGACGUAAUGAUUAAUAGGGAUAGUUGGGGGCAUUAGUAUUCAAUUGUCAGAGGUGAAAUUCUUGGAUUUAUUGAAGACUAACUACUGCGAAAGCAUUUGCCAAGGAUGUUUUCAUUAAUCAAGAACGAAAGUUAGGGGAUCGAAGACGAUCAGAUACCGUCGUAGUCUUAACCAUAAACUAUGCCGACUAGGGAUCGGAUGAUGUUAAUUUUUAAUG
rnacentral:rRNA from 1 species